rnacentral:rRNA from 1 species
AGUGAACGCUGGCGGUAGGCCUAACACAUGCAAGUCGAACGGCAGCACAGUAAGAGCUUGCUCUUACGGGUGGCGAGUGGCGGACGGGUGAGGAAUACAUCGGAAUCUACUUUUUCGUGGGGGAUAACGUAGGGAAACUUACGCUAAUACCGCAUACGACAUACGGGUGAAAGCAGGGGAUCUUCGGACCUUGCGCGAUUGAAUAAGCCGAUGUCGGAUUAGCUAGUUGGCGGGGUAAAGGCCCACCAAGGCGACGAUCCGUAGCUGGUCUGCGAGGAUGAUCAGCCACACGGGAACUGAGACACGGUCCAGACUCCUAGGGGAGGCAGCAGUGGGGAAUAUUGGACAAUGGGCGCAAGCCUGAUCCAGCCAUACCGCGUGGGUGAAGAAGGCCUUCGGGUUGUAAAGCCCUUUUGUUGGGAAAGAAAAGCAGCAGGUUAAUACCCCGCUGUUCUGACGGUACCCAAAGAAUAAGCACCGGCUAACUUCGU